UAUCUCUGUAGAGUCUGCAUAUCAAUAAGCGGAGGAAAAGAAGCUAACAAGGAUUCCCUUAGUAACGGCGAGUGAAGCGGGAAGAGCUCAAAUUUGAAGUCUUCAAGGUUUUACCUUGACGAAUUGUAGUUUAAAGAAGUGUUUUCUGUUGAAGUUUCGGUAAAAGUUCUUUGGAAUAGGACAUCAUAGAGGGUGAGAAUCCCGUAUUUGACCGUUAUUUUCAGCUGUGUGAUACACUUUCAAAGAGUCGGAUUGUUUGGGAAUGCAGUCCAAAAUGGGUGGUAAAUUUCAUCUAAAGCUAAAUAUUGGCGAGAGACCGAUAGCGAACAAGUACCGUGAGGGAAAGAUGAAAAGAACUUUGAAAAGAGAGUUAAACAGUACGUGAAAUUGUCAAAAGGGAAGCGUUUGACACCAGUGUUGUUUUCUCGAAAAUCAAUUAAAAAUGGCUUGAUUUUGUGUUGUAUUGACUUUAUCAGCUUUCUGCACUUUUUUCUUGUCUUUUUUAAUGCACUUUUCGUUUAACAAGUCAACAUCAAUUUCUUUUGUUGUAAAAGGGUCAUUGGAAGGUGGCUUUCUUUUCGGAGAAAGUGUUUAUAGCCUUUGACUUCUGCAAUCGGAGAGAUUGAGGUCUGCAGCGUAGAUCUUUCGGGGUUAGAUGCAUUUGUGCUAAGUUAUAGCCUUUCAUAGACAACUUGUUGACUAUGAUCAGUCAUGUAGCUUACUCGCUUAUGUUAUUUUACCUACGCUUAGGAUGUUGAACGCGCACAGAGUCUC
rnacentral:rRNA from 1 species